UAGCAGGAGGACAUGUGUCAGCAGCUGCCUUCACACCCUCUAAUCAGCCAAUUACUUAAUCUGGGCAAAGAUACUGAAGGAAGAAAAGAGAGUUCAGCUUUAAUAUGAUGCUCUUCCUAAUUAUUCAAUGAUAGGUAAAUAAAAGCACCUGUCAGAGCCAAGAUUUAGAGUCAAUCUAAAAGAGACUUUCAGCUUGUAAAGUCUGUGUAUGAAACCUAAAACCAAAAGAGAAAGUGAGACAUGUGUGUGUGUUGCUGGUAUAACUGCUGUCAUUCCUCCACACCGCAGACAGAUACAGUAUUUAUCUGACUACAGCAUCAACAUGAAACCAGCAGAGCGUGAACCGGCACCACACAGCUCGAUGCUUCUGCAGGCGUCUCUGGAGUCAGACGGAUGGACGGACGGAUGUCCUGCGGCGCCAUCAACUCGUGGGGACACCAAACAAGCUGCUGUUGGUUGCUAGGCGCUUGUUGCUAGGGAUCAAUGACCCGGCUCCACGGCUGCACGUCCACCAGGAAUCUGUCCUCGCUGUGCCAACUUCCUUUUGUCUUUAUUUUCAAAAUGCCACCCAGCCUCCGAAAAAAGCUUCCAACGACCUCAUGGUAACAGAAAGCAGUAUUUCCCCUGAGCUACUGUGUACACUCAGAGAGGACACACUGACUCUCCGUCUCGCUGGCUGACCCAAAUAAACAGCUCCUUAUGCGGCGCAGUGUGGUACGCUGACAAUGAAGAAAGAUCCUCUAACAGCGAGAGUCUGCCUGCAGCCAUGCAGCCUCGUCACAUGACUCUUGUUUUCCUGAGAACAUCUCUGCCACCGGCUGCUCUUUGUCCAGCACCGAUGACGAGGAAACAUGAAAAGGGUCGGCUGUGUUUAGCCCACCUCCCCCCUUCCCUCCAGUGCUUCCAUAAUACACAUGCAACACAGCACAUUCACAAGGAAGUCAAGCGUAGGGCCUGGUUUUUUAAAUAGAGAAGAGGUGGCAGGGCAGCAGCAGCAGCAGUGGGACAAAGAGUGAUGAGCUGCAGCAAAGUGGAUGGACUCAGCUUUCUGCUUUUACUUUCUCAACCAGCAUCGUGACAAAACAUCACACCAGGCUGUCCCACUAACUCCAGUGUCCCCCCUCCUCCCCCCAAAGCCUCAUGCUGCAGGAAAACAGCUCCAUGUUCACGUCUUUUCUGGUUAAUAACAGACCUCCAAGAACACCACUGAGGUUUUACCAUUAUUAAGAGAAGGGCUCUCAAACUACCUACCCCCCUAAGAUCAGGCCCCUUAGCGACAUUACAAGAAUUUAUUGUUAAAUCCAGCCCACAAAUAUAUUCUUUUAUUCUUUUAUCCAGUCUUUUAUUUUGAAGGGAUUCAUUUCUCCAGGAAGUAUGCAGCCUAAUCAACAAAUGUGUGCUCUUAAACAACUUAAUUCUUGCUCUUAAAUAAUACUUAUAAUAAAAAUAUAUUGUUAAAUCCAGCCCACAAAUAUAUUCUUUCGAUUUUUUUAUCCAGUCUUUUAUUUUGUAGGGAUCUAUUUUUCCAGGAAGUACGGAGCCUAAUCAGCAUCAAAAACACAUUUUUGGUCUUAAAAAAAUGUAAUUCUUGGUCUUAAAUUAAUACCUAUAACAAUUAUUAAUCGUUAAAUCCAGCCCACAAAUAUAUUCUUUCAGUUAUUCCCAGUUUUGAUUCUUAUCCAUUCUAAAAAAUACAGUUUUCCCAGUUUACAUUUUCCUCCAGUCUUUUAUUUUGUAGUGAUCCUUUAAUUUUUCAGGAAGUACGGAGCCUAAUCAGCAUCAAGAGGAGAAUAAAAACUAAUUUGUGCUCUUUAAUUAAUACUUUGUGCGCACAAAUCAACAAAACAUAACGUUAAACAAUAUUUAACGGAUGUUUAAGGGGUUCAAAAGAGUAACAGGCAAAAUCUCUCCUUCAAAGUAAAAGCACAGGUGUCGAAGAGCAAACACUGAACAAAAUGUUCUCAAAUGACUGAAUAAAGUUAACUGAAAAACAAAGAUUUACCACUAAUCUCGAGGUUUUAUAGUAACUUUCUUUUUGUUUGGGAGGAGGAUUUCAACAUCCCUCAGAGAUGCAAGUCUGCGAAGCUUCUUACAGUCAACAAACACUCGUCUCUGAUGUUCAAGGUCGCCGUGGAGACCGAGCUGUUUAUCUGCCGUCUCCGCCGCUUAGCGAACACGUGUAGGAAAAAAAAAAACUCACACACACUCUUUUCCACACCGGCUGAAUCCCCUCCUGUUCAGAGCCCUGCUCGGACACAAA